rnacentral:rRNA from 1 species
AGAGUUGUAUCCUGGCUCAGGACGAACGCUGGCGGCGUGCUUAACACAUGCAAGUCGAGCGAUGAAGUUCCUUCGGGAAUGGAUUAGCGGCGGACGGGUGAGUAACACGUGGGUAACCUGCCUCAUAGAGGGGAAUAGCCUUCCGAAAGGAAGAUUAAUACCGCAUAAGAUUGUAGUUUCGCAUGAAACAGCAAUUAAAGGAGUAAUCCGCUAUGAGAUGGACCCGCGUCGCAUUAGCUAGUUGGUGAGGUAACGGCUCACCAAGGCGACGAUGCGUAGCCGACCUGAGAGGGUGAUCGGCCACAUUGGGACUGAGACACGGCCCAGACUCCUACGGGAGGCAGCAGUGGGGAAUAUUGCACAAUGGGGGAAACCCUGAUGCAGCAACGCCGCGUGAGUGAUGACGGUCUUCGGAUUGUAAAACUCUGUCUUCAGGGACGAUAAUGACGGUACCUGAGGAGGAAGCCACGGCUAACUACGUGCCAGCAGCCGCGGUAAUACGUAGGUGGCAAGCGUUGUCCGGAUUUACUGGGCGUAAAGGGAGCGUAGGUGGAUAUUUAAGUGGGAUGUGAAAUACUCGGGCUUAACCUGAGUGCUGCAUUCCAAACUGGAUAUCUAGAGUGCAGGAGAGGAAAGUAGAAUUCCUAGUGUAGCGGUGAA